rnacentral:rRNA from 1 species
AUGAUGUUCUUUAAAGUAUAUACUGGAUUAGGACUUAGGAGUGAACUCUGCCCUACACAUAAUUCUCAGCUGAUAGGAAUCAAUUCUUAUCAACUUCAAGGUCGUAGGAAUACAAUGUUUGGUUAUUCUUUCAUUGUUUGCCAUGGAGACAUGAGUUAUCUUCAUCAGAUCAUUGUCAAAUUUAAAGUGUUCUUCAUUUAUUUUACAUCAUCCACAACUCCUACGGUAGUACCAACAGAAAAUGAUCAGCUUGAAAGUUUUGAAUGCAAUGUUAGGGAGUACUAUAAAGUAGAGCAUAUAUGUGAUAGAAGUGUUCUGAUCUAUGGAACAUAUUUAUUUGGCAGCAGUAGAUGCUUCCACAUAUUUCAAGGUUUUUAA